rnacentral:rRNA from 1 species
UACGGAGGGAGCUAGCGUUGUUCGGAAUUACUGGGCGUAAAGCGCACGUAGGCGGCUUUGUAAGUUAGAGGUGAAAGCCCGGAGCUCAACUCCGGAACUGCCUUUAAGACUGCAUCGCUAGAAUUGUGGAGAGGUGAGUGGAAUUCCGAGUGUAGAGGUGAAAUUCGUAGAUAUUCGGAAGAACACCAGUGGCGAAGGCGGCUCACUGGACUGGUAUUGACGCUGAGGUGGCGAAAGCGUGGGGAGCAAACAGG